rnacentral:rRNA from 1 species
GUCUGCAUGGAGCCGGCCUUGAAAUACCACCCUUUAAUGUUUGAUGUUCUAACGUGGACCCGUUACCCGGGUUGCGGACAGUGUCUGGUGGGUAGUUUGACUGGGGCGGUCUCCUCCUAAAGAGUAACGGAGGAGCACGAAGGUUGGCUAAUCCUGGUCGGACAUCAGGAGGUUAGUGCAAUGGCAUAAGCCAGCUUGACUGCGAGCGUGACGGCGCGAGCAGGUGCGAAAGCAGGUCAUAGUGAUCCGGUGGUUCUGAAUGGAAGGGCCAUCGCUCAACGGAUAAAAGGUACUCCGGGGAUAACAGGCUGAUACCGCCCAAGAGUUCAUAUCGACGGCGGUGUUUGGCACCUCGAUGUCGGCUCAUCACAUCCUGGGGCUGAAGUAGGUCCCAAGGGUAUGGCUGUUCGCCAUUUAAAGUGGUACGCGAGCUGGGUUUAGAACGUCGUGAGACAGUUCGGUCCCUAUCUGCCGUGGGCGCUGGAGAACUGAGGGGGGCUGCUCCUAGUACGAGAGGACCGGAGUGGACGCAUCACUGGUGUUCGGGUUGUCAUGCCAAUGGCACUGCCCGGUAGCUAAAUGCGGAAGAGAUAAGUGCUGAAAGCAUCUAAGCACGAAACUUGCCCCGA